rnacentral:lncRNA from 1 species
ACAGAAACUACAGAAGUGUUCCACCCGAGACAUACUCGGUGUAGGCCAACGCAACCAAACCCAACAUGGCAAAUCUACCGUUCCACAUCUCAGCAUCCGAUGUCAUGACGCCCUCUGACCUGGAUUCUGCGCUGACCCCUUUGAAAAGUGGGAUCAAAGACGCGACAGAGAGCAGAAUACUUGUUCCGAGGAACCACGAGACUCCACCGUUAGAUAUCUGAGAAAAAAAGGUCUUGGCCCUUGGACAGUUCCACUGCCAUUGCAGCGACAAAGCCUAUCAUGGCAAGCCUGCCAUUGAUCCUCUCUGGUGCGGGUCCGCUAAAUGCGAACAAAUCAAGGAAGUUUGUGCUGACCUGUUAAUCACAGUCAUACGGGCGUUUACAUUAGAAGUGGAAGCAUAAAUGCAAUCACAAAGUCCUUGCUCUUCUUAAAUUGUUAAAACUAAACAUUUCCGAAACAAAUCGUGCCGUAUAAUUAAUCCUGUACCUUUGGCUCAGGAGUAGAACCUGACUCUGCUAUCUUCUUGAUCUGGUCACCCUGCAAAUUGAUUCAAAUGUUAACACAAUUAAUCCUAAGAACCAUCACCCAAAGUAUACACAAAGGAAGUCGAAAUAGAUUCCAAACUCACCAGCUUGGCCUUGCACUGCACCCGUUUGGUAGCACUGCCACGUAGUCGUGGCACAUACGUAGCAGAAAACAAGUUGCUCAGUCGAGACCGGUUUUUCAGCAGACUACUGGCUACUGGAGUUGCAAGGACGGUCUGCAUUACUGUUGAUGUGGCCAUCACUUAAUUAGAAGAAUGUUUAUCACUCGAGCUGUGAUUAAGAAACUUAAUCAAUAUCUAAUCUGUGAAAGCUAUUCUAAUGCUAGAGGCAACGUUCGUAAGGGAUAUCACUACCAGUGAGUUGAAGCUCGAGCUGAUUGCUUUGUAAUGAUAAUUAAUGUAUCUGACAAUGGUUUGGUAGGAUGUUAUAUAGCCGAUGGGGCAUGGGAGGAGAGGGUAUUUUGCUACCACGUCAUCUAUAUCUAAUUAAAAAGCUGAUUGGAUCACGUGGGUUCGGUUGUCCUCACAUGGUCAAUUGGGUUACGUGGCCUCCUCACAGUCACUAGUGGAUCCCCACCCCCUUUAAGAACCUGAGGCCAAUGUUGUUCUAGGUUUUCCAGCUGAGCAGCGACCACAGCAUAGUAAUCGAACUGGGCUCAGCCACGAUUUUACCGCAUUAAUUUUACACGUUCCAAAUAACACAGCUAAAGUAAAUCGUACUAAUGUAUAAAAUUUUUGCAAUUGGCCGACAUGUUUUUUUUCUUAAAUAUCUUUUUUUAACACGUGGUUGAUGAUAGAUUGUGUACUUUUAUUAAAUUCUUAUUAAUAUCUAUUGUAUAUUGAUAUUUCAUGUCAAGUUUAUUACAACUAGAUGUAUUUUAUAGGAUACCUUGGUAUAAUUGCUUUUAUCCUUGCCCUGUGAUUAUCAUUUAGAAACCUGAAAACCAUUGCUAAUUGGUAUGAUAUCUAUUUUGAUUCUAGCCAAAUACUUGAAUUUUUUUUCUUGUAGAUACCCUUUUCUUGGUAGAAUAUUACAUUUGCUGCCUCAUUAUUUCAUCAUCAAAUGUGGUUGUCCAUCAAAUGCAAUAUCAAUUUUAACUUUUCUUCCUUUUUAACUAAUUUGAUUAAGUCUCUAAUCUUUAAAUUAUAUAGUGUCAACAAAGUUGAAUAUCGAAUCUCGAAUCUCGCCAAACAACAUUGAAUCAUAAUUGCUAAAUUCUUAAAAAAAAAAAACCACAUGUUUAAUGAUCCAUAUCACCCAUUAUAGAUUAUGGUAUUUUUAUGUAUUGAAUCGUUGUGAUAUGGGACUGGGAUCUAGAAAGACAAUGACCCAUAUCACUCAUUAUAGAUUAUGGUAUAUUUAUGUAUCGAAUCGUUGUGAUAUAAGACCUGGAUCUAGAAAGACAAUGACCUAUAUUUUUUAAAAUGAGAAAACAGGUGAAAAAACAAAUUAAAAAAGAAAGUAGUAGUAGUAGUAAAUAUUAAAUAACAAGAAUGAUACAAAGUACAAAAUUAAGUGAAGGUGACAGCUAAAAGUUAGGCCCCGUUAUUGGGAACACGGUGCAAAUCGCGUUCCCUUAAAUUUUAAAUUUUUUAUUUUGUUUAAAAUGAUUUUUUUAUAUAUAGUUAGAUCAUUUUGAUGUGCUAAUGUCAAAAAUAAUUUUUUAAAAAAAUAAAAAAACUUUAUUUAGAUACAUUUCUAAGCAAAAAGCACUUUGAAUCAUCAUUGCUAUCACAAUCUCAAAUAUACCCUUAGAGAGUUGAGACAAUAUACUAAUGUUAGAAGAGAAAGCUAGACAAUAUACUAAGUCAGAGACUUGUGAUGGGGACACCGAACCAGAAACAUUAUUUAUGCACACGUAUGAUCAUAGACGAUGGAGGAUAGCCCAAACUAUUGAGAAAUUGAGCUUUAACUUAUGUUUUUGGGUUUAAUUUAUAUGAACUUUCAGUUGAGUUUAUUAAUUUGGCUUUAUUUGUUGGAUAUUUUAUUUAAUGGGCCAUAAGCCCAAUCGCUUAUUCAAGUUAGGGUUUUAGUAUAAAUACCCUACUUUUCUAAAUGUUAAAGGACUUUUGAUGAUUAAUGAAAAUUUGCAGAUUUUGCAUAUCUCCAAUCUCCUCUGUACCUCUUCUUUAGCUUCUUUCUUUCUCUAAAGCUUCUUUCUUUUCUUGCUUUAAUUCUUUUUAUUUAUUGUCCUGCAUCACUUGGUAUGUUGAAAUUUUAUGUUAGGCUAUAUGUUUUCCAGACCAAUACAUUAUAAUUAUACCUACUUCAUGUUUUAAAAAUUUAGGUCACAUGCUCUUUUUAGUGGUGUCACACUCAGAUAUUGCGACGAUUGAUUAAAAAUCAUCACUCGUUUGGGAAAAAAACGUAUAUCUGACAUCUUGUUCUUUUUAGAGGAAAAUGUCUUGUUCUAGAAGAUGCCACCUAGUAUUAUGGUCACUAAGAACCCUAAUUGGUCAACAUAGAUUCUAUAGUACGGGACUGGUUACGCAAAAAGGAAAGAUGCUAUCACCUCUUAAGCGUCUUAUCUUAGGCAAGCUGCAUUGCUCUUUUUGUCUAAAAUUGCUAAGAGUUUGUUCUCUUUUUCCUCUUUUAUUCUUCAUUUCAUGUUCUUGACUCCGGUGUCAGUGAAUAAUUCCUACGAAUAUUUCCAAUUCUGGUGUUGGUAAAUAUCGUGCAAAUCCAAAAAAUACGAUACUCCUGACUCUAACGUCAAUAAAUAAUUUCGCAAAAAAUGAAUUUGAAGAAGAAAUUUUCUCUGUCAUUUUUUUCUUGUUUAUCCUUUACUAUUAUUCACCCUUUUUAGAUGAAAAAAAUAAAAUAAACACGGCACGACAUAUUUGUAUUUAACAAUAAUAGUCCACAGAUUGAGCACAUAGCUAAGAAAAAUACAAAAACAAAGGGAAAAAAAUAAUAAAAGAAAGUGCGAAGGGCCCGCAAAUAAAUCAACGAAGGCCUCCAGAUAUUUUUAGAUUUUUCUGUUAUCGAAAAGGGGCUCGUUUGACCUAAUAUCAAAUUAGAAUUGAUAUAAAAAUUAUGGUCAAGGCAUAAGAGUGUGUUUUGCCAAACACACCCUUAACAAACAUAAUUUGAGCCAGUUGGGACACAAGCCCAAACCCGGCCAACUUUUUUUUUUUUUGUUUUUGUUUUUUUUUCUUUUUCUGGGCUGGGUCUAGCCCAACAAUCUAAGCUGGUCUAAACCUAGCGGCCCGGCCCGGUUACUGGUUCAGACUAGUAACCCAGCCAGUUUAAUCUUUUGCUGCAAGCGUGCGUGAGCUAUUCACGCCUCACGCACGCUUGCUACAGAUCCUAGGUAAUUAAAUCGCAAAAUGAACAGUAAUGAAUUAAAAUGAGAGCGGGGAAAGACAGAAGACUUACCUGGUUUGCAGAGAAUUCGCGUGAGAUUGCAGAUGCUGGACGAAGCUCCCGUCUUCAAGUUCUCUCCCGUUUCUUGUUCUUUCCUGCUCUCACUCUCUCGUCUCUUCUGUUUCUCUUUUGUUUUUGUUUUUUUUCCUCUUCUGGAUACUCUCCUUUUCUUUUCUUCCCCCUGUUCUCUCCCGUUUUUCUCCCACUGUUUUCUGCGUUUUUUCAUCUCUGUUUCCCUCCUCCCCUUCUGGCUUCUCCUUUCCCCUUUUUAUAGAGCCAGACCAUGAGAGGGAUUCUUAUCCUUAUCUUCUCUAGGAUCGUCAUCCUGUGUAGAGUGAAUCGGCUCGGUGUUCGGAUGGAACGGAAACACCAACAGUCCUGCCAUUGUUGGACUGUUGGUGGUGCUUAUCCUUGCGUCAGGGGAGAAUUUUGAGGGUGAGGGAGACCAAAACAAACCCUACGGGUUCCGUGGGUAGCUAAUGCAACCUUGAACUUAGCUUGUGCGCGGCGAUUUUUUCUUUGCAGGGGUGUUCUCUGUUUCCAGAGGAAGAAUGUUCUCUAUUUCCAAAGGAAGAAGACAGUGAACAACAAUGACGAACGACAUCGUUUUGGACAGGAAAUGGCCAUUUCUCAAUUUGGUCCUCCAAGUUUCAACAUUGUUUAAUCGGGCCGUGGACAGAAUUUCGGUGCCUUUUACAAAAAGGUCCCUGGAACUUAAUCACUUGUAAUUUUAUCCUUAAUAAACUCAGAAAUUUAAUAUUUGUUCAACUAUAUCCCUGGUUUCAUUAAUUAAACUAAUUCUAAGCUUAAUUAAGUCCUCAAACUUAUCUAUUCUUUAAUCAAACUCCUGAUAUCAUUAAUUAAACCCAAACAAAGUUUUAUUGAACUCCAUACCAGCUAAUUUUUUUAAUUUCUUUAAAAAUUAACAUCCAAAAUCAUAAAUUAAACAUGAUUAAACCCAUCAGAGCUUUUCAUUUAUGUUGUCUUGAUCAAAACCUUAAUUUUUCAUUCAUUUUCUUAUUUUGAAUUUUAUAUUGUUUAAAAUUGAGUUAUAAUAAGUGGACCGAGCUUUUUGGUCUCAAAUCCAUAAAUUUGUUACCAAUUGACCUACCUCAUUUGGCAAGUGUGAGAUCUAUCUUCAGUGAAAUCUACUAGGUGAAUCAAAAUCCAUAAAAAAGAAGAAAAAAAAACAGAGAAAGAGUGAUAAAACUAACUACCACACCAAACAAAUAAAGAGGUUAUGCAGGCAGUCUUUCCUAAUCAAAUAAUAAAACUGAAAACAACACAAGGAGGUUUGUGGAGACAGCUACCUGCUGAUAUGCUUGUUUGCUUGCGUGUCUGGUUUUGUAAUUACACUGUUAUGAGCAGUUAACUCCUCUUUGGUGGCUUCGAAGGAAUUGAUAAUUUUAGACUUUAUUUUGAUUUAUCAUCCUCCUACAUAUUUCUCUCUUUGUUGGCUUCGAAGAAAGAGUUCUGCUUGGCCUGUAGCGGGUGCGGUAUAAUAUAUCCUCCUAAAUAAACUCUUUUUUUUUCCUUUUUUUUUAAAGCGAUUUAAAUGGCCUAAACUGGAUGGGUAUUGGAUUUCAAUCUACAUUUUCAUAAAGCGUAGUUGGUCAAACAUUUGUAAUCGGUCGCUGCAAGAAAGACCCGUGAUUCGUUAAAAGUCCGAAAUAUCUUCCUAUUGAUGCACCGACGGCUUUCAAACUUGGCAUGUUCCUAGCUAGCAUAACAUAAAGAAGGAGAAGCAAAAUCUACACAAGUAUCAUUUGUAACUUGUAUAAAUGAUUGAAAAUUGAUCUUACAUAUUUCGCUACUGAAAUUACAUUAAUUCAAGUAUCCAUGUUAACAUCUAUGGCUUGAAUAAUACACAAAACAGAAACUACAGAAGGGUUCCACCCGAGACAUACUCGGUGCAGGCCAACGCAACCAAACCCAACAUCGCAAAUCUACCGUUCCACAUCUCAGCAUCAGAUGUCAUUACGCCAUCUGACUUGGACUCCGCGCUGACCCCUUUGAAUAGUGGGAUCAAAGACGCGACAGAGAGAAGAAUACUUGUUCCGACGAACCACGAGACUCCACCGUUAGAUAUCUGAGAGAAAAGGUCUUGGCCCUUGGACAGUUCCACUGCCAUUGCAGCGACAAAGCCUAUCAUGGCAAGCCUGCCAUUGAUCCUCUCUGGUGCGGGUCCGCUAAAUGCGAACAAAUCAAGGAAGUUUGUGCUGACCUGUUAAUCACAGUCAUACGGGCGUUUACAUUAGAAGUGGAAGCAUAAAUGCAAUCACAAAGUCCUUGCUCUACUUAAAUUGUUAAAAUUAAACAUUUCCGAAAUAAAUCCUGUACCUUUGGCUCAGGAGUAGAACCUGACUCUGCUAUCUUCUUGAUCUGGUCACCCUGCAAAUUGAUUCAAAUGUUAACACAAUUAAUCCUAAGAACCAUCACCCAAAGUAUACACACAGGAAGUCGAAAUAGAUUCCAAACUCACCAGCUUGGCCUUGCACUGCACCCGUUUGCUAGCACUGCCACGUAGUCGUGGCACAUACGUCGCAGAAAACAAGUUGCUCACUCGAGACCGGUUUUUCACCAGGCUACUGGCUACUGGAGUUGCAAGGACGGUCUGCAUGACUGUUGAUGUGGCCAUCACUUUAGAAGAAUGUUUAUCACUCGAGCUGUGAUUAAGAAACUUAAUCAAUAUCUAAUCUGUGAAAGCUAUUCUAAUGCUAGAGGCAACGUUCGUAAGGGAUAUCACUACCAGUGAGUUGAAGCUCGAGCUGAUUGCUUUGUAAUGAUAAUUAAUGUAUCUGACAAUGGUUUGGUAUGAUGUUAUAUAGCCGAUGGGGCAUGGGAGGAGAGGGUAUUUUGCUACCACGUCAUCUAUAUCUAAUUAAAAAGCUGAUUGGAUCACGUGGGUUCGGUUGUCCUCACAUGGUCAAUUGGGUUGUGGCCUCCUCACAGUCACUAGUGGAUCCCCACCCCCUUUAAGAACCUGAGGCCAAUGUUGUUCUAGGUUUUCCAGCUGAGCAGCGACCACGGCAUAGUAAUCGAACUGGUCUCAGCCACGAUUUUACCGCAUUAAUUUUACACGUUCCAAAUAACACAGCUAAAGUAAAUCGUACUAAUGUAUAAAAUUUUUCAAUUGGCCGACAUGUUUUUUUUCUUAAAUAUCUUUUUUUAACAUGUGGUUGAUGAUGGAUUGAUGAUAGAUUGUUUACUUUCCAUGUUGCUCUCUUUCUUUUGAUCACUAAGUUAAUUAAUUUUAUUCCCUUUAUUUUCAUCUUUAUUUUUUUUAAUAUAUUAUAUUGAACAACUUUUCUUUUUAUUUUUAUCUUUAUAAUUUCUAAUAUAUAUUAGAAAACUUUUUUUUCUUCUCAUUUGCUUAUUGAUUUCUUACCAAAACAUUCAAAAAUAUCUUCCUUAUAUUUUCUAGUAUUUACUAGCAUGACUCAACAUAAUUUUGAAUACAAGCUAAAUGAUGUUUAUAAUAAUAAAUAUUGUAGCUAAAUUUUUUUUGACAAUACAUGUACUAAACUUUUCUUGAAUUUUUAUAAAUAUCUAUACUAUCUUGUCAUCUCACGUCAAGUCUAUUACCAUUAAUAAUUUUUUUUUAUAUACUAUAUAUCUUGUAAUUCAAUAUUCAAUUUAAAUCAACCAUAUAAUUAAAAUCUUGACUUUUACUUGACAUUGCAACUCACCAAAGUCCAAGUGUCAUCACCUAAAUGAAACAUUGAUAAAUCUUUUAGCCAAGCUAAGGCUAGGCAUAAUUUUAGAUUAGCCAUUAGGUCAAAUUACAUUAAAAUUGUUGAUAGAUUUAUGGUUAGUAAGUCAAUGGCUCGAUUUUAUAUCAAGCAACUGUGUUGUAUUUUAUGCAACAGUUUUUUGGUUUUAGGUCAGGUUUCUUUUUUCUACCAAGCUUGAAUUUGUAUCCAAUGAUAUGGAUGCUUUUAUUGGAUUUCUAAUUUGUUAUGGUAUGUGUCAUAAUCUAAUUUUUUACCAUUUUAUUUUAAUUAUUAUUAUUAUUUUAUUUACUGGAAAGGAUAAAAAAAUGAUGAAAAAAAUAAUAAUAAAAAUGAAAAAACAAGUAAAAUGAAAUAAAUGAAGAAUGAAUUACAAUUUGGGUUAAUGGCAACAUGAUUGGAAGUUUUGGGGUUUAAUUAAACUUUGGAAUUAAUCUAAAAUAAGCUUGGAAUUAAUUUAAUUAAUCCAAUUAAGGGUUUAAUUGGAGAAUUGAUAAAUUUUUAGACUUGAUUGAGCUUGGAAUUAAUUUAAUUCAUCCAAUUAGAGGUUUAAUUGGAAAAUUGAUAAGUUUUGGACUUAAUUGAGCUUGAGAUUAAAUUAUUCAGGGACUCAAUUGAAACAAUAUCAAAGUUUGGGGUUUAAUUGGGGUCCAAAUUGAAAAAUUAAAAUCUAAGGACCAGCUUGAAAAUGGCGCCGAAAUGCAGGGGUCUAGUUACAAUUUAACUAGGGACUUAAUUAUAAAAUUGUCAGAAAUGCAAGGUCCAAAAUGCAAAUAGCCAUUAAACACCAAAAACGGCGUCGUUUUCCCUUUUCUGUUCAUCUUCUUGCCGACUGAAACAGACGCCCACCGCCGCUCCCACCAUUUCACCUGCAAUUAACACAAUUUAUGGCUUGAAGAAACGACAUUCUUCUCUGGCUAUAAAAGCCAGAGAGAUAGUCCAUGCAUGCGAUAGAGAAAACAAAAACCCAGGGGGAAGGAACACAGAAAAACCAGAGGUUAAAAAGAGACAAAAAAAAGAGCCACGAACAGGGGGACUCACAAAACCGGGGGAGAGGGGAAGCCACGAAAAAACCACAGAAACGGGGAGGGAGAUUAUACAUAAGAGAGAGCAAAUUUUGGCCAGCCACUGCACCUUCAUCAUCGUCUUCUUCCAGACCAGUGCUAGCCGCGACUCCGGUUGCACCCCUUUCCCCCGAAGACAGACGCGAAGGAAAAGAAGAGGAUGAAGACAGAAAGAAAAACAGAGGAACCAACCAAACGAAAACAGAGGAGAUAGAACAAAGAAAAACAUAGAGAAAACCAGGGGGAAGAACACAGAGACAGGGUGUUAAAAAUAACACUCUUAUGAAGCUUACAGGAUUGAUGGAAAUUGCAUACCCUUAUUUGAUAAACGAGUGCUGCUUAAAUACAGCUUCUUACAAACAGAAAUGAGAAAAACUAGCUACUGCAGAUGUUAUUUUACAUGGAUCAAAUCACUAGUAUUAUGGCUUGAGAAGAGGUCCUCUUUGACUGCCAUAAUCCUAGAAAAAUAGCCACAAUCCCAGAAUGAUAGGAAUAAGAUUUUAUUUCUACAGAAUUCUUCAAACUAAAUCUUCCUAAUAUAUCCUCCCCUAAACUGAGCAUGCUGUGCAUUUGCUCAGUUUAGAUCCUUCUUCUCUUAUACUCCCAAGAGCAUUCAAAGUUUUACAAAAUCUUCAAGUUUAAGCGGUUUUGUCAAAAUGUCUGCUAGCUGCUCCUUAGUGCCACAAUAGAUGAGCUCUACUUCUCCCUUUUUGAUAAGAUCUCGAAUAAAAUGAAAUCUUACAUUGAUGUGCUUUGUUCUCCCAUGAAAUACUGGAUUCUUGGACAAUUUAAUGGAUGAACUAUUGUCGCAGAACACAGUAACACAUUUACAAUGAUCUUCUUCAAUGCUAUUUAGAACUUAUUUCAUCCAUAUACUGCACCAUCUCUGCUUCAGUAGUUGAUAAAGUAACUAUUGGUUGCUUUUUGGAGCUCCACGCUACUGCACCAUCUCCCAUCAUGAACACAUACCCAGAAGUGCUUUUCCCCCCCAUCCAAGUCACCCGCAAAUUCACUAUCAGUGUAUCCUUUAAGGGUGCUGUCUGAGCUUCUUUUGUAGAAAAUACCAAACUUCAUUGUCCCUCUUAGGUACCUGAGUAUUCUUUUUGCAUCUAGUAGAUGUCCUUCAUUCGGUGCAGCCAUGAACCUACUUAGAAAACUCACUGCAUACAUUAUAUCAGGUCGCGUUGUUGUGAUAUACAUGAGGCUGCUAAUUAAUUGCUUGUAUUCGGUGUUGCCAAUUUCUUCUCCUUUCUCUUAUGAUGACAGUUUAGUUCCUGGAACCAUAGGGUUAUUGACUGCAUUGCAGCUGCUCAUUCCAAACCUUGCAAGUAUUUCAUUUGCAUAUUUUCCUUGACAUAAGAAAAUUCCAGCCUCUGUUUGAUGUACCUCUAUACCCAAAAAAUACUUCAUCCUCCUAGAUCAGUCAUAUCAAAUUCUGACUGCAAUGGAGGCUUUAAAAUUUUUCACAUAACAUCACAUUAUUACCAGUAAAGAUUAAGUCAUCCACAUACACAAAUUACACCAAAAAAACUUCCUCCUUCCCUUCUUUAUGAACAAGGUGUGUUCAUAGCUGCAUUUGUUGAAACCUUCAACAGCAAAGUAAUCCUCUAACUGACUGUACCAAGCUCUAGGGGCUUGUUUCAAUCCAUUUAAUGCCUUCUUUAGUAGAUAUGCUUUGUACUCUUCUCCCUUUCGAAUGUAUCAUUCGGGUUGUUCAAUAUAAACAACCUCAUUCAGUUCUCCGUGAAGAAAAGCGCUAUUUACGUCAAGCUGAAAGACUUCCCAACCUCGCAGUGCAGCUAGAGAGAUUAGCAUUCUGAUGGUGUCCCAUCUAGCGACUGGCGAGAACACUUCGUUGUAAUCUAUUCCUUAUCUUUGAUCAUAACCCUUCACAACCAGUCUUGCCUUGUGCUUAUCGACCUCUCCUUUUUCAUUCAAUUUGGUUUUGAAAACCCACUUCACUCCAAUCUUUUUCAUUCCUUUAGGUAGGUCCACUAACUCCCAUGUAUUGUUUUUCUCGAUAGCUUGUAUCUCAGUGUCCAUGGCAUUUUUCCAUUUAAUGUCUUUUACGGCAUCACCGUAACUUACUGGAUCAUCUUCAGUAGCAUAGAGCACUAAGUAUUGCUCUUCCUCUUCUUCCUCUGCAAGAUUUUCACCAGUUACAUAAUCUUGCAGGUGUCUUGGAGGUAUGCUGAUCCUUUUUGUCUGCUCCCUUCGAGUAUCCUGAGAUUGAGCAAGGGUUGUACUUCUUGCCUUCUCUGUUUGUGCUGCAGCCUGCUCAUUUGGUAUGCCAUCUUCUUCUCUGCUUGUUCCAUUGAAUGAUUCUGUGUCAUCCCAAGUUAAUUCCUCUUGUUCAUCAUCUGUCCUCCCCCAAUUCCAUGUCUCCUUUUCAGCAAAGAUCACGUCUCUGCUGGUGAUGAUUUGCUUGCUCUCGGGAUCGUAAAGUCUAUAGGCUUUAGACUCUUCACUGACUCCCAGGAAUACACAUUUAUGGCUUUUAUCUUGUAGCUUGAUCCUCUUCACAUCCGGUAUAUAUGCAUAGGCAACACAUCCAAAAACUCUAAAAUGUGCCACAUUAGGCUUGUUUCCAGUCCAGCACUCUUUUGGAGUUUUAUUUGUAAUUGAUGCAGUAAGACUUCAGUUGAUGAUGUGUACAGACCACUUUGCUGCUUCUGCCCAUAAAUUCCUUGGCAUUUUUCCUUCAACAAGUAAACAUCAAACCAUGUUCAUGAGAGUUCAGUUUUUACGUUCAGCAACUCCAUUUUGCUGAGGAGUGUAUGAUGUGUUGAACUGUCUCUUGAUUCCCUGGGUGCUGCAAAAUUCUUGAAAAACUUGGGAAGUGUAUUCUCCUCCUCGAUCGCUUCUAAGACACCGAAUGCUCAUCCCUGUCUCUUUCUUAACUUUGGUUUUAAAGUGUUUGAACUUCUCAAAAGUUUCUCCUUUUUCUGCCAGUAAAUAAAGCCAUGUUUUUCUACUAAAGUCAUCUAUGAAUGUCAGAAUAUACCUCUUGUUGCUCAUGGUAGUUGGAGUGAUUGGUCCACAGAGAUCUGAGUGGAUAAGCUGCAACUUUUCUGAUGCUCUCCAGUUAGCUUUCUUUGGCAUCUCUUCUCUGUGUUGCUUCCUUUUGUUGCAUACUUCACACACUUUGCUUACUUCUAUGAUUUUAGGCAUCCCUUCCACCAUUUGCUUGAAGUGCAAGCUUCAGAGUCCUUUCUGAUGUAGGUGACCAAAUCAUCUAUGUGUGUUACUUGCAGACAUGCAUCAUUGUGUUGUUCAGUAAGCAUGACUAACAUUCGGUUUGUAGUCAUAUAUGUGUGUACAAUCAGUCCCUUUGUGGGAUGAAGGAUCUUGCAGGCUCCUCUUUGCAUUAUCACUGUUAGAUCUUUCUCUUGCAGCUGCCCAACACUUAACAAAUUGUUUGUUAAGUCUGGCACAUAAUAUACAUCACUUAUGAUUUGUGUUCUUCCUUGAACUCUCAGUUUAAUGUUCCCAAGACCCAUAACCUGCAUCCGAGCAUUGUUUCCCAGCUUCACAGUGUGUGAGAACUCCUCAUUCAAUGUAACAAACCACGUUUUGUUACCUGUCAUAUGGUUGGAACAUCCUGAAUCGAUGAACCAAGCAUCUUCUCUGUUUGAUCCCCUCAUUUCAACGUGAGCCAUGAGUAAAAGUUCUUCUUCAUCAUCUAGCUCAACAUAAUGUGCGUUUCUUUUCCAGGUAGGGCAUUCAUACUAAAAAUGCCCUGGCUUGUGACAUUUGAAGCAUUUCAUUGUGCCUCUGCCAAACACCUGCCUUCCUCUCCCUCUGUUUGGACCUCUAAAGCUGAUACCUCCUCUUCCUCUAUUAGUGUUUAUUCUGCCUUCUCCAAUUGAAGUAUGCAACACCUGCUCCUCGUUUUUAUCUUUUUCCAGCCUUUUGAAUUUGGCUUCGUGAACUACAAUAGAACUUUGUAAUUCAUCAACUGUCAUGGAGCUCACAUCCUUGGAUUCUUCUAUCGAGACCACCACAUAAGUACUCUGUAAUUGACUCACUUUGCUUCAUUUGUAGAAUCUCAAAGUCUCUUCUUAGUGUGUUGAGAAGAGAUUUCUUCACCUUUGCAUUCCCUCCAAACUUGCUCUUCAAUGAAUCCCACACAAUCUUUGAUGUGCGCCUGUCUAAGAUUUGCUCAAAUGUAACUCUAUCUAAUGCUUGAUAUAGAUAGUGUUUCACUUGAUGAACUUUCAUCUUGGCAUUAUCAUGUUGUGUCUGCUGCGUAUUAGUAAGCGCAGUUCCAAUGAUUGGCUCCUGAACACCAAUCUCCAUAAGACUCCACAGCCCUUUUGCUCUCAGCAAGUUUUCCAUCAAUUCACUCCAAUGAUCAUAAUGUUGACCAUCAAAAUGAGGAAUCUUCGUUAAACUCUUAUCCUCACUCAUUUUCUUUCUUCUUGUUAUCGAGCUGACUUUUGUUGUGUUUGAAUCUAUAGAGGCUCUGAUACCACUGUUAGAAAUAACACUCUUAUGAAGCUCACAAGAUUGAUGGAAAUUGCAUACCUUUAUUUGAUAAACGAGUGCUGCUUAAAUACAGCUUCUUAAAAACAUAAAUGAGAAAAACUAGCUACUGUAGAUGUUAUUUUACAUGGAUCAAAUCACUAGUAUUAUGGCUUGAGAAGAGGUCCUCUUUGACUGCCAUAAUCCCAGAAACAAUCCCAGAAUGAUAGGAAUAGGAUUUUAUUUCUGCAGACUUCUUCAAACUGAACCUUCCUAAUACAGAGAAUAAGAGAUAAACACGAAAGAGACAGGGCAAAAAGGAGGUAGCAUCGGCCAGCCAGAGCUCCACCAUCGUCUUCAUCGCCUCUAGUAGACCAAGUAAGCAUCCCUUUGUUCUCACAUUUGAUUGCAGUGCACUGUGCAAGUGAAUUUUAAUUCACUUGCAUAGUGACUGGGCUUAGCCCAGCAAGGUCACUGGCUUGGGCCAGUGACCAGGAUGGGGCCAGCCCAGCCCCCAUGGGCUGAGCUGGCCCAGCCCAAAAAACUAAAAAAUAAAAUAAAAAAAAUAAAAAAUAAAAAAUAAAAAGUGUAGAAAUAAAAAUUUUUGCAUGUCUUAGAAAAAAAUGUAUUUUUAUUAACUUAUUUAAUGAUAUCAGGAUCAUGAAUAAAAAAAAAUAUACUAAUUUUUUUUCAUAGCUACGAAUUUUUACCAACGCCAGAGUUGGAAUUAUUCGUGGUGGAAUUUUUACCAACGCCAAAGUUGGAAUUAUUUUAGAUCGAAUAUUUACUGACGCCAGAGUUAGGAAUAUUAUAAAUAAAUCAUCAUAGCAUAAGCGAAUAAAUGUUUAGCAAUUUAAGACAAAAUCAACAAUGCAGUCUGCCUCAGGCGGAACGUUUAAGGUGUGAUAACAUCUUUCUUUUUACGUAACCAGUCUCGUACCAUAGAAUCUCUGUUGACCAAUUAGGGUUCCUAGUGACCAUAAUACUAGGUGGCGAGUCCUUAAACAAUACAUUUUCCCCUAAAAGAAUAAGAUUCUAGAAAUCUAUUCUUUUUCUAUAAUCAAGGAUUAUUUUUAGGGCUCGCGAUGUCGAGUGCAAUAGUAUGAUAGAUUGUUCCGAAUCAAAAUUAGCUCUUUAAAAUUAAAAAUUUAGCUAGAUAUUGUGUUUUUUUUUAGCAUUUUUUUUUUAAUUUAGACACUAUAUGGUUGUGAGGUUUCUUUUGAUUGUGAUUAAAGUUGGUUUUGAUUUAGAAAUAAUUUUAGCAUAUGUUGUCCAUGAAAGGACAACAAUGAUGCAGCAUUAAAGUGAAUAAAACCCAAAUUUCCAAAAUGUUUGUGGUUUGUUCGGGGCUCAAAGAUUUGCACUGUGAAUUUUAUGGAAUGGAAGUGCUUGAUAAUAAUUUGGCAAAAUAAAAAUGAACUGAUUAGAUUUUGUAGGCAAGCUAAUGCAAUCUCCUCACAUCUUUCUUAUAAUGGCUAUUAAGUAGUUAAAAUAUUUAUGACAAUAACUUUUAGUGACAUUUUUAUUCAUUUAAUACAUUAGGGAUUCUUUAAUUAUUAAUUAAAAUAUAAUGAUGAACUUGUAAAUACUUAGAUUUUUUUUUGUUGAUUUUUUCUUAAUGCCUUAUAAAGUAUCUCGAAGUUUUCUAUAAUUUUCAAAAAAAUAAAGGCAUAAUAUAAAAUUGAUUAAACUUCUGGAUGAUUAGGUGAUUUUUUAUUUUUAAAUCAAAUAACAUCAAAUUGAAAAUUUUUAAUUAUUGUUUUAGUUUUUUAUAUUUUCAUAUUAAAGAACUUAAUAUUAUUUGAAAUGUCAUCAAUUAAUUAAUGAUUUUGCCAUAGUUAUUAAACCUGGAGUGGUGUGGUAGGUCAACUCGGGACCCAGUCGAUCCAGUGGCUGGACCGGUUCAGGUAAGGUAAAACACCAGACUAAGCAAAAACCUGGCAAAACCCGGUCGACUCGUGACCCAGGCAACCCGGCAAAACCAGGUAGAGACCCGUUUUUUUUUUUUUUAAAUGUGUUUUUUCUCCUAACCAAAAACCUUAUAUAUAUAUAUAUAUAUAUAUAUAUUAUAUAUAUAUAUUUCAAAGUUCAUUAUAUAAAUAUUAGAAAGAUAUUUUAUUUUUUAAAUUUGGAAUUUGAAGCUCUUUAAUAUAUAUACUUUAUGCUCACAAGAAAAAAAUUUAUUUUUCAAUAUAGGAUAUAAAAUAUUUUUUUGGUUUAAAUAUUUUAACUUAAAAGAAUAACAUUGUAUCUUUUUAAUAUGGAAUAAAAAAUCUUUUAAAAUAAUUUUUAAACUUUAUUAGUUAAAACAUCUAUGGCACAUUAUAUAACAUCCAUUUUAUAGGAUGCCUUGGUAUAAUUGCUUUUAUCCUUGCCCUCUUAUUAUCAUUAGUAACCCUGAAAACCAUUGCUAUAUUGGUAUGAUAUCUAUUUUGAUUCUAGUCAAAUAGAUAAUGCUUUUUUUUUUCUUCCCGUGGAUGCCCUUUUCUUGAUAGAAUAUUACAUAUGUUGUCUCAUUAUUUCAUCAUCAAAUGUGGUUGUCAAUAUAAUGCAAUGUCAAUUUUAACUUUUCUCCCUGUUUAACUAAUUUAAUUAAGUCCAUAAUCUUUAAAUUAUACAGUGUCAACAAAAUUGAAGCUCGCCAACCAACAUUAAAUCAUAAUUGUUAAAUUCUACAAAACAAAAUCCAUAUUUUAUUAUCUAUAUCACUCAUUAUAGAUUAUAGAUUAUGAUAUAUUUAUAUAUCGAAUGGAUGUUAUAUGAGAUUUGGAUUUAAAUAGAAAUGAUCUUUUUUUUUAAUAAGAAAAAGUCACAAAAGAAAAACAAAUUAAAGAAAAUAUUAAUAAUAAUAAUAAUAAUAAUAAUAAUAAUAAUAAUAAUAGUACUAGUGAUAGGAGUAAUAAUAAUAAGCAUGAAAGAACGAGAAUGAGACACAGCAUAAAAGAGUUGGUGACAGGUAAAAGUUAAGAGAGUUGAGGCUACUGGUGUUAGAAGAGAAAGCUAGACAAUAUCCUAAGUGAGAGACUUUGUUUGUUGAAAUUUAAAGUCGGGCUAUAUGUUUUCUGGACCAAUACUUCAUAAUUAUACCUCCUUCAUGUUUUAAAAAUUUAGGUCACGUGCUCUUUUUAGUGGAUCGAGCUUUGGUCCCAGAUCCAUAAAUUUCUUUCCAAUUGAUCUUUACCUAAUUUGGCAAGUGUGAGAUCUAUCAUCAGUGAAAUCAACUAAGGUGAAUCAAAAUGCAAAAAAGAAAAAGAAAAAGAAAAAGAGGUUUUAAUUUGGCUGCUUUCGUUCUUACUACGCUUAUGCAUGCAGAGUUCUUUCGUAAUCAAAUAAUAAAACUGAAAACAACACAACGAGGUUUAUGGAGACAGCUACCUGCUGACAUGCUUGUUUGCUUGUGUGUCUAGUUUUUGUAAGUACACUGUCUUUAGCGGUUACUCUUGAUGCUUCGAAGGAAGUGAUAAAAUUUUUAGACUUUAUUUUGAUUUCUCUUCCUUCUAGAUAUCUCUAUCUUUGUUGACCUGUAGCGGGUGCGGCAUAAUAUAUCUCCUAAAUAAACUUUUUUUGUAAAUGGCCUAAACUGGAUGGGAAUUGCAUUUCAAUCUACCAUUUUCAUAAAGCGUAGUUGGUCAAACAUUUGUAAUCGGUCGCUGCAACAAAGAUCCGUGAUUCGUUAGAAGUCCGAAAUAUCUUCCUAUUGAUGCACCGACGGCUUUCAAACCUGGCAUGUUCCUAGCUAGCAUAAAAUAAAGAAGGAGAAGCAAAAUCUACAGAAGUAUUAUUUGUGAUUUAUACAUAUGAUUGAAAAUUUACAUAUUUUUACUGAAAUUACAUUGAUUCAAGUAUCCAUGUUGACAUCUAUGGCUUGAAUAAUACACAAAACAGAAACUACAGAAGGGUUCCACCCGAGACAUACUCGGUGUAGGCCAACGCAACCAAACCCAACAUCGCAAAUCUACCGUUCCACAUCUCAGCAUCAGAUGUCAUUACGCCCUCUGACCUGGAUUCCGCGCUGACCCCUUUGAAUAGUGGGAUCAAAGACGCGACAGAGAGCAGAAUACUUGUUCCGAGGAACCACGAGACUCCACCGUUAGAUAUCUGAGAAAAAAGGUCUUGGCCCUUGGACAGUUCCACUGCCAUUGCAGCGACAAAGCCUAUCAUGGCAAGCCUGCCAUUGAUCCUCUCUGGUGCGGGUCCGCUAAAUGCGAACAAAUCAAGGAAGUUUGUGCUGACCUGUUAAUCACAGUCAUACGGGCGUUUACAUUAGAAGUGGAAGCAUAAAUGCAAUCACAAAGUCCUUGCUCUACUUAAAU